rnacentral:rRNA from 1 species
UUGCUAGCUUGCUAAUAAUUCUCUAGUGGCGCACGGGUGAGUAACACGUGAGUAACCUGCCCUUCACAGGGGGAUAACCGGGAGAAAUUCCGACUAAUACCGCAUAAUGCAACGGAAUCGCAUGGUUCUGUUGCCAAAGAUUUAUUGCAGAUAGAUGGGCUCGCGUCCGAUUAGAUAGUUGGCAGGGUAACGGCCUACCAAGUCUGCGAUCGGUAGCCGGACUGAGAGGUCGAACGGCCACAUUGGAACUGAGAAACGGUCCAGACUCC